UGAAGAGGGAGCCUGCUCAGUAAAACACUUGUGGAUGUGAUUCUCCAAGCACGUAUGUGCUAGAUUACUAACACAUUUAAAAUGUGUGCUUGGGAUCUUUACAUGGAUGGUUACCUCCUCCCCCCCGUCAUAAAAUGCCAUUAGACCAAUAUUGUGCUUUAUAAAGCGGCUCCUAGUGAGAAGUAACAAGUUGAAAUGGGGUAGAAAAUAGAGAAGCCAGGAGAUUCUAAUGCUUAAAGGCACACUGAAGGUAAGGGUGUGGGUACAGCAGCAUGAAUAGCAGCAGCAGUUAUAUACCCAAGCACCUCUGCAUCGCACACAAAUGUAGCAUGAAGAAGUAGCAGUAAGAAGCUACUUGGAAGAAAAAUGCAGUUGUUCAAUAGGGUAAAGUUUUAAGAAUGCAAGAUUUUUCUUCUUGCUUUGAUUAGUUUUAAAUUCCGUGGUUUUAUGUUUGAGGAAAAGGAAAAUAUUUACUUGUAUAAUUAUAAAGAUUUUUAUGAUUUUUUUUUUCUCAACACUGUAAGUUUUGCUUCUUUGGAGCCUAAAGUACUUUGAAAUUUUUCUGCCUUCAUUGUCCAGUUGCAAAUAACUCAGAAUAUGGCAUGUGAGUUGUGGAGGUGUGGUUUAUGGCCUGAGUAAAAACAGUAUUUGAGUAUAGGCAUAAUUUCAGGAAUGUGGCUUACUUAGUUUAAAUUCAGCAAAAAUGUAUUUGCACAAGUGCAGCACUCAGUUAGAAAGGUGAGAUUUCAAUGCAGCCAAAGUCCCAUUUUUGAAGGUAGUGCAGAUAGUGCCCUGUUGACCUGCAGGGUGAUUCAGGUGUCUAAGUCACUGUAAUUAAAGGGAAAAAUAGAAAAAACCUGUUUUUCUAAGUUAUUGCAUUGUUAAACAUUGUCUGUUUUGAAGGCCUGCAGGGACUGUGAUGACUGUAAGAGGUGUCUUCCAGAAGCUCCAGAGACUGCAGGGUUUAUGUGGAUUCCUGUUUAAAGAAUGGUAGUGAGGGCAUUUUAAGUGGUUAACAGUAGCAGAAAUUGGCUUCUCAAAGUCCUUGUAUAGUUUUUCUUUUCUUUCUUAGCAGCAGGGAUGUUGGUCAGGUUGGACCUCAGGAGGCCACCUCCAUGCGCAGGGUUGGUCCUAGUAGCAGAUCAGGUCAGCCAUAGUGUUUUUCCAGUUGAGGCUUGAAAACCUUCAUAAAUGGAGGUACCAAAACCUAUCUGUGCAUCUUUUGGUUUCUUUUAGUGUGUUGUCUUUCUCUGAUUAUAUUUCAGUUUGUGUUAUGUUGCUGGUAAGUAUAUCUGUGUUCAUUUUAUGGUGCUUUCUGGUCUUUUUUCCCUGACUUGAUGUAGUAGAUCGAUCAUAUGAAUAUAUAUAGGAUCUUUGUUUAUAGUUUACGCGAAAAGGAUGGCUUUAACCUAGUGGAGCUGAUCCUUCAUGACUCCCUUUGUUAACAGGGAGAGGCUAGCUCCUGAAGAAAGUAUUGCAGAGAAAGAACUUCUGCCUUACUAUUGACUGUAACAGAGACAACUUAUCUCACAUGGCUAAAGUUGCCCAUGUGAGGGCAGAGCUUAAGACACAGGAGCUUCAGCUUUGGAGAGCAAUGAGUGGCGUGUUUCUGCGGAGCUGUGGACUUCUUUUAUUGACUCGAACACACAGUUUAAAGAAAAUGGGGAUGGGUGUGUGUGGGCAAAUGAAAGUAUAUUGUUUUUUAUAAAGUGUCACCUGCAACAUGCUUUUAAAUAAACCCCUAUAUAACCAUGUA